GCCCAGGUGGUGGAAUGGUAGACACGUACGUCUCAGACGCGUAUGCCGCAAGGUGUGAGGGUUCAAUCCCCUUUCUGGGCACCA
rnacentral:tRNA from 1 species